GGGAACGUGCCUUCUGGUUCGGAAUAACUCAGGGAAACUUGAGCUAAUACCGGAUACGCCCUUUUUGGGGAAAGGUUUACUGCCGGAAGAUCGGCCCGCGUCUGAUUAGCUAGUUGGUGGGGUAACGGCCUACCAAGGCGACGAUCAGUAGCUGGUCUGAGAGGAUGAUCAGCCACACUGGGACUGAGACACGGCCCAGACUCCUACGGGAGGCAGCAGUGGGGAAUAUUGGACAAUGGGCGCAAGCCUGAUCCAGCCAUGCCGCGUGAGUGAUGAAGGCCUUAGGGUUGUAAAGCUCUUUUAUCCGGGACGAUAAUGACGGUACCGGAGGAAUAAGCCCCGGCUAACUUCGUGCCAGCAGCCGCGGUAAUACGAAGGGGGCUAGCGUUGCUCGGAAUCACUGGGCGUAAAGGGCGCGUAGGCGGUCUUUUAAGUCGGGGGUGAAAGCCUGUGGCUCAACCACAGAAUUGCCUUCGAUACUGGGAGACUUGAGUUCGGAAGAGGUUGGUGGAACUGCGAGU
rnacentral:rRNA from 1 species